GAGGGUGUAGCUCAAGUGGCAGAGCACAUGCUUAGCAGGCGCGGGGUCCUGGGUUCAAUCCCCAGCACCUCCU
rnacentral:tRNA from 1 species